rnacentral:rRNA from 1 species
UUUUGGACAAUGGGGGCAACCCUGAUCCAGCCAUGCCGCGUGAGUGAAGAAGGCCUUCGGGUUGUAAAGCUCUUUCGGACGGACCCCAAAUGGGCGGGACUAAUACUCCUGUCUGAUGACGGUACCGUAAGAAGAAGCACCGGCUAACUACGUGCCAGCAGCCGCGGUAAUACGUAGGGUGCGAGCGUUAAUCGGAAUUACUGGGCGUAAAGCGUGCGCAGGCGGUUUCGUAAGCUGGAGGUGAAAUCCCCGGGCUUAACCUGGGAAUGGCCUUCAGGACUGCGAGGCUAGAGUGCGGCAGAGGGAGGUGGAAUUCCACGUGUAGCAGUGAAAUGCGUAGAGAUGUGGAGGAACACCGAUGGCGAAGGCAGCCUCCUGGGCCAGCACUGACGCUCAUGCACGAAA